UUCCCAGCGGCGGUGCGUCCCCGCGCGGUGGCACCGAAGACUUACAUAGACGCCGUGCGCGGCGCCCAGCAGCGCCGAUGCGGAUAGCAGGAGCAGCGUGCACAGCGGGGCCCGGAGCAUGACGGCGAUCGGGAGCCUGGGUGACUGAAAAGCAGCUGUAUCAGAGAAGCGUGCCGCCCGCCCACAGACUGCUGAGGAAUGUAUCACAGGGUCUGGACUGCUCAACCUUCCUCAUCUUGUGCACUCAGCAUUCCCCAAGAUCCUGAGGAGCCGGCUGCAGGGAGGAGUGGCAUCCGGAACCCCAGGUGAAGGACGCCUCCCUGUCACGGCUUUGCUUAGUUCGCUCUGUGGCUGCAAGACCCAAGUAUCGUUCGAUCCCCUCAGCGACUUCUGCUUCCUGAUGACGACCACAAUCAUUUGAGAAGGAAACUGUGACACCACAGCCCUCCACCCCUUCCUCCAGCUCUUAAAUUCUUUCUGCUGCCUCUUCAGUCAAGUUCAGUCUUGGGGGGGGGAAUGCAGAUAUGAUUCUUUCCUGAUCACCAAAAACAACAGCUGCCUGUCUAUCCCCAAGAGCCUGACUGGUCAUCAGUCUCCGCAAUCACCUCCACCCAUUCCAGAAAAGAGUUUCCCUGGACCUCAGCUGAAAAUCCCUGAUUGGAUGUAAAGACCAGCGGUCGCCCAUCUACCGAAACGACAGCCUUAGCCACCCGCUGGUGCGGACCAGUAGCCAGCCCCAGGGUUUUGCCCUGGCAUACCGUACCAAACUUGAGUUUCCAACUCGGAGUGGGUGCGGUCCUAAAUCCAACCGAAAGAAGUUGGGUGCACCCAUAACUGUCAUGACACUUCUGCAAGUAGAGUGAAUGCCUUGCCCACGUGUCGGUGAUGUGGCGAGUGAGAUCCGGGACUGAGCAGGACCGACCCGCGACCAUUCUUUCCUACCGGUACUGUGUGUGCCGGCCCCCAGCUCUGCCCAAGUCUCCGUGUCCUGCAACCAGAGGAUGUAAUGUUUGGGCAAGACGGAUUUGUCACCCAGUUCCGGUGUGCAGCCACCGACCGUGGUUCUGUUGUGUUGAGUCGCGGGGCUGUCUGGGUUAGCCCCGCGCUCGGGAGCCGCGAGUUGAGGACUGGUGUUUGCGGGGCUGUGAUCCCGACCAGUCGAACAGCCCCCGGGUGGGGGAGUGUGGAUGAGGGAAAGGGUUAGCUAUAGGUAGUGAAGGAGAGACAGAGGCAUGGGAUAGUAGUGUCAGGAGGGCAGAUUCAGUCAAUACUGAACACCGCCCGGUUUAUUCACACGUCAUCUUAAGUAACCAACCAAAAGCGGGGACAAUGGCAGAAGACUUCUCUUAUGUAUAAAGGACAGAGAGCAAUUACCCCCUUAAUCCUAAAGGCACUGCUAGCUGCAGUUCCAAUUGGUCUUCAGGCACUACAAAGCUGCACACAUCACCUAGCCUUCAGGGUGAGUGUAAACUGGCCUGGGCCUAGGUCUGAGGUCAUUUAGAUAGGAGUCACUCACCACUGAGGCCAGGGCAUCCUGUAGUCAGCUAAUAUCUUAAACACAAUAGGAGUGCCUUGAGCUCUCAGAUGGAAUAGAUUUCCAAUAUACAGGCUCCCACAGUGUUGCUUUGGGGGAACUGAUUUAUUAUCUCAUUUCUCCUGGAGGACUGGUGGACAAAUGCCUAUUCACACAGACAUGGUGUCAACCCACAGAAAUGGUUCCAUCCAAGUACAUCUUGGUGAACCAGAGUUUACUAGGGUUACAAACAGACGCGCCUGUUACUCGGCGACAGCCGCACCGUGGCAAAGACAUGAUCGGUCACCCACAAAAGCUGCCUCACUGGAGUCCCCACCCCUGAUUAUCCUUAGUUCGUGCUCUGCUGAGAUAGAGAUUAGAAUAUGAAAUUCACUUAGUCAUGGAGGUCGUCACCAGACUGAUGAGUAUCUGGAAGGCUGCACAGACAACAUGGCGGGCGAGUGGUUGUGUAAAGAAUUCGACCCAUUGACUAGAUAACACCAUAUCUCAAAGUCAUUUUCAUUGUUCAUUAUUGUUAGCUAGUUUUUCAAGACAGGGUUUCUUUGUGUAGCCUUGGCUGCCCUGGAACUCACUCUGUAGACCAAGUUGGCCUUAAACUCACAGAGAUCCGACUGCCUCUGCCUCUCCAGUGCUGGGAUUAAAGGUGUGCACCAUAACUUCCUGGCUAGUGUUCUUGUUUGAUAAUGACCCACAAAGGAUUAAGUAAUAUUUUUCACUUGGGAGGUGGUGUCAAGGGGAGCAGAAGUUAAAGGUUAUCAUUGUCUGUAUAGAGAAUUCAAGGUCAGCUUGGUUUACGUGAGACCUUAUCUGUUUUUUAAAAAGGUUUGGUUUUUUGUUGUUGUUGUUGAUUUAUUAAUUUGAUCAUUACAGUGGGUAUGUGGGGUGACUA